AAUUAGAAUUUAGAGAGAAAAACUUUCCGCUUCAGAAAAUCCGCGAAUCCCGGGGUUCAAGAUUUCAAUCUUGAACCCUGAAAUGAUUCGGUUCAUUCAGGCUUUCGUGAUUCAGCAGCUGGGCAAUCUACGAGGACCACCACCGGGGCCUGUUUUCGACGAUCGUGGAGCUCGUGAAAACGCCCCAGGGGAAGACCACCAGCAGCCUCAAGAUGAUGGAGAUGGGGUCAAUUUGAGGAGACCUCCGGUAUUGGCCCCAAACAUCCAGCAGCUCAUCCAGCAGCAAGUGCUGGAGCAACUGAGGAAUGUAAGUACCUAGCAGAUUUGGAGAUCUCAAACCGAAGGUCCUUGAAUUUCCUAGAUAUUUCUAGUAACUCUCUGAAUUUCCUUCAAAGUUCUAGUAAGUUCUGCUCGGAUUUCAGCCAGGAGAUCCUGCUGCAGAAGGAGCUAGAGUUGCUCCACAGCCAUCGGUACCAGGACGUAGAGUCCCUCCAACAGAUGGAGACCCCCUACAGCGAGAGAUACCUCCAGCACGUGGAGCAAUCCCAGUUCCUGAAGGACAACCGGAGAAUGUUCCAGAAAGGACAGUCAUGCGGGAGAUCCUUCAGGAGCUCCAACUGCAAAGAGAAGCAAGAGAGAGAGAGAGGCAAGAGAGAGAGAGGAAUGAGAAAUAGAGACAAGAGAGAGGGAGGAAGCAGAAAGGAAGAAGAAGAAGAAGAGAGGGAGAAAAUACUGGGGAGGGGGUGAUAGAUACCCAGGAUAUGGU